CAUCCAAUGCUUUCUUCCUGGAUUCGACUAAUAUCUGCUCAUAACUUUCAUAGUAAGAUAUACCAAGUCAAGUAUAUAGCAUGGCAUUCACCUAUGCUUAAGAGGAUAAUGGAUCCCUCUUGGAGGUUUCAAUGCUGAACCCUUUCAGCACCUCUUUUAUGUACUUGUCUAUUAAAAUCAAAUAUCCUUUUAGGAUCUAUCUCUAUGGACCUUUAUUUUGAGAAUGUUUGACCU
rnacentral:lncRNA from 1 species